rnacentral:rRNA from 1 species
CACGUAGGGCGCAAGCGUUGUCCGGAAUUAUUGGGCGUAAAGAGCUCGUAGGCGGUCUGUUGCGUCCGCUGUGAAAACUCGGGGCUUAACCCCGAGCCUGCAGUGGAUACGGGCAGACUAGAGGUAGGUAGGGGAGAAUGGAAUUCCCGGUGUAGCGGUGAAAUGCGCAGAUAUCGGGAGGAACACCGAUGGCGAAGGCAGCACUCUGGGCCGGCACUGACGCUGAGGAGCGAAAGCGUGGGGAGCGAACAGG